GAUUAACGCUAGCGGCGGCAUAAUACAUGCAAGUUGAACGAGAUAAGUUUUAGCAAUAGAACUUUGAAAGUGGCGCACGGGUGCGUAACACGUAUGCAACCUACCUUUUACUGGGGAAUAGCCUCUCGAAAGAGAGAUUAAUACCCCAUAAUAUAUUGAUAAGGCAUCUUAUUAAUAUUAAAGUUACGGCGGUAAAAGAUGGGCAUGCGGCUGAUUAGGUAGUUGGUGAGGUAAUGGCUCACCAAGCCGACGAUCAGUAGGGGGUCUGAGAGGAUGUCCCCCCACACUGGUACUGAGACACGGACCAGACUCCUACGGGAGGCAGCAGUAGGGACUAUUGGACAAUGGGCGCAAGCCUGAUCCAGCCAUGCCGCGUGCAGGAUGAAGGCCCUAUGGGUCGUAAACUGCUUUUGUACGGGAAGAAACCUCACUACGUGUAGUGAGUUGACGGUACCGUGAGAAUAAGGAUCGGCUAACUUCGUGCCAGCCGCCGCGGUAA
rnacentral:rRNA from 1 species